GUGCUUCAGGAGAACACACACUAAAACUGGAAUGACCCUGAGAGGAUUAACAUGGUCCCUGAGCAAGGAUGGUGUGUAUUAAUAUGUCCUCCAAGUGUCU
ensembl:snRNA U6 U6 spliceosomal RNA